AAAAAAAAAGUACGUGAGUACGAUGUGUGGGUGUGUGGUUGUGUUACACCGAGGAAAAAGGGAGUAUGAAGGAGGUGUAAGUUACUCGGUCCUCUCUCCAACAUACGGCAUUGCAUACAUACUACCACUACCAUCUUUGACUAGGCUUCAGACCAAGCGCUCUACGUUGUCCCACACACCGCUAAUAUUUUGCCUCGAUCUCUGCGCUCUCAUACGGGGUAAGUCCACCGGAAACGGGGCAUUCGGCAGGAAGCAGAGAUGAGUUGGGCGGUGUAGCGCUGUUAGAGGGUUUGUGUCUGUGCCUAGCUGCUGAUUCGUUCAUUCAAGUGGCUCCCCCGGCCAGAACACCUAACCAUCAGCAGUAGACUGUUGCGACAGACUGCUGAUGACCCAUGUUAUUAAUACUACUUCUCCCUCCCGUCAAGUGACGGCUACGAGGGUAGACUAUAACACGCUUACACACUCUGGAAGGGUGGUGGUGGUACGUUGCCUUACUAAACAACCUCUCCCGGGCAGAGCAUCCGGGAGCUUGGUUGGAAAAGUAAGGUAACAAGAGUCCAGAGUCGUACUACGUUCUGGUCUCGGCCGCAGCCGCCCAGUGAGUGUUGAGCGACUGAAUCUUUUUUAAACCUUAACACUACCUGUCACUACUACGACAAACCUUCAAACCCAUAGUACUAAGUCUUCCCACAUGGUCUCUUGAGGCAGAGAUUGUGGAAGUGAUAAAAGUCGGCAGAGCCCGACGUAAAUAUAAAAAUACAACUCUUAACGGUGGAUCACUCGGCUCGUGGGUCGAUGAAGACCGCAGCAAGCUGCGCGUCGUUAUGUGAAUCGCAAGAAUACCAGAUACAUCGACAAGUCGAACGCACAUUGCGGCGGCGGCACUCUCAUGUGCUGCCGUCACUCCUACACGAGGGUCGGACAUCAUAUAACCAUACAUCGGCAUUGUCACCCACCACAGGUGGUGGUUGUCUGGUGACUUUGACCGCCUUGGGGCGUCGCUACUGUCUUGUCUUACAACGACGAAGGUGUGCCCUUAAGUUAUGUCUGCGAGUCGCGGCUCUAAAAUGGGGUCGCGGGCUCGGGAUAAGGACCACUGCAUUCCAGCCAGAAUACGUAAAACACGGCAGCGGCUUGCGCCAAUGCCGCGUACACGCGUACUAGUUGUGUUUGUCAGAGGGCCGUCCAUACAUACCUGCUUUGCUGCUUGUCAACCCUUGUCAGCAGGCUCGUCAGACGGUGACCGGGUCGGCGCUACCCGAUCUGCUCGGAUCACCAGAGCGAGCUUGCCGCCCAGAGUAUUAUUAUAUCCCCAUGCUGAUAUAAUAUGGGUGUGAAAAAGACGAGAGGGAGACUUGCAGCAGCAAAACGCGAGCUAGUCUCCAGUCUGACUGACUGAGUG
rnacentral:sRNA from 1 species